CCUACGGGCGGCAGCAGUGGGGAAUAUUGGACAAUGGGCGAAAGCCUGAUCCAGCCAUGCCGCGUGUGUGAAGAAGGCCUUCGGGUUGUAAAGCACUUUCAGUGGGGAAGAAAGCCUUGGGGCUAAUACCCUCGAGGAAGGACAUCACCCACAGAAGAAGCACCGGCUAACUCCGUGCCAGCAGCCGCGGUAAUACGGAGGGUGCGAGCGUUAAUCGGAAUUACUGGGCGUAAAGCGCGCGUAGGCGGUCUGAUAAGCCGGUUGUGAAAGCCCCGGGCUCAACCUGGGAACGGCAUCCGGAACUGUCAGGCUAGAGUGCAGGAGAGGAAGGUAGAAUUCCCGGGGUAGCGGUGAAAUGCGUAGAGAUCGGGAGGAAUACCAGUGGCGAAGGCGGCCUUCUGGACUGACACUGACGCUGAGGUGCGAAAGCGUGGGUAGCAAACAGGAUUAGAUACCCCUGUAGUC
rnacentral:rRNA from 1 species